GGACUGUGAUGCAGUGGAAGAACACCUGCUUUGAGUGCAGGAUGCCCCAGGUUCAAUCCCUGGCGUGUCCU